GUUUAGAUAGAUUAAACAAAUCGUAUCAUUGAAGAUGAUAAAAUAAAUUAGGUUUCUAAACA
rnacentral:tRNA from 1 species